rnacentral:rRNA from 1 species
AUUGAACGCUGGCGGCAUGCCUUACACAUGCAAGUCGAACGGUAACGCGGGGCAACCUGGCGACGAGUGGCGAACGGGUGAGUAAUAUAUCGGAACGUGCCCAGUAGUGGGGGAUAGCCCGGCGAAAGCCGGAUUAAUACCGCAUAUUCUGUGAGCAGGAAAGCAGGGGAUCGCAAGACAUUGCGCUGAUUGAGCGGCCGAUAUCAGAUUAGCUAGUUGGUGAGGUAAAGGCUCACCAAGGCGACGAUCUGUAGCGGGUCUGAGAGGAUGAUCCGCCACACUGGAACUGAGACACGGUCCAGACUCCUACGGGAGGCAGCAGUGGGGAAUUUUGGACAAUGGGCGCAAGCCUGAUCCAGCCAUGCCGCGUGAGUGAAGAAGGCCUUCGGGUUGUAAAGCUCUUUCGGCCGGGAAGAAAUCGUGUGGGUUAAUACCCUUCAUGGAUGACGGUACCGGAAUAAGAAGCACCGGCUAACUACGUGCCAGCCGCCGCAGUAA